rnacentral:lncRNA from 1 species
AUGUAAGGCCUGUGCUCCACGAAAGGUUUCAAAUGCCAGAAUGGUUUCAAAACCAUGGAAUUCCCGCUUAUUGAUUUAUGGAGUGACAAAUAUAUGAUGAUCUCAGCAAGUGAAAUUAUUGAUAUUCAGGGAGACACCUAUACUCUAAUAUGUUGUACAAGGUUAGUACUUCUUCGCCGGAAGAACGAAUUUUUGGCAAGUGAAAUUGUUUCUAUUCAGGGAGACACCUAUACUCUAAUAUGUUGUAUAAGGUUAGUACUACUUCGCCGGAAGAACGAAUUUUUGUAUAGCUUAUUUGUGCAGAGGAGUAACCAUCUACAAAGUCCCAACUUCCUCAUGUCUCACUUGAUGUUCUCCAUUCUUCAUC